UGCAUCGGCCGGGAAUCGACGGGCCGCCCAAGUGGCAGGCGAGCAUUCUACCACUGAACCACCGAUGU